rnacentral:rRNA from 1 species
AGUGAACGCUGGCGGUAGGCCUAACACAUGCAAGUCGAACGGCAGCACAGUAAGAGCCUGCUCUUACGGGUGGCGAGUGGCGGACGGGUGAGGAAUACAUCGGAAUCUACUUUUUCGUGGGGGAUAACGUAGGGAAACUUACGCUAAUACCGCAUACGACCUACGGGUGAAAGCAGGGGAUCUUCGGACCUUGCGCGAUUGAAUGAGCCGAUGUCGGAUUAGCUAGUUGGCGGGGUAAAGGCCCACCAAGGCGACGAUCCGUAGCUGGUCUGAGAGGAUGAUCAGCCACACUGGAACUGAGACACGGUCCAGACUCCUGCGGGAGGCAGCAGUGGGGAAUAUUGGACAAUGGGCGCAAGCCUGAUCCAGCCAUACCGCGUGGGUGAAGAAGGCCUUCGGGUUGUAAAGCCCUUUUGUUGGGAAAGAAAAGCAGCAGGUUAAUACCCCGCUGUUCUGACGGUGCCCAAAGAAUAAGCACCGGCUAACUUCGUG